rnacentral:tRNA from 1 species
GCGCUGAUAGCACGCAUAGUUUGAGUGCAGCACGCUUAUAACGUGUCGGUCGCGGGUUCGAGCCCCGCUCGGCGCA